GUCAUUGGGAUAAAUAUUUUUUCAUCGAAAUAUUUAUAAAUUUUAUGAAACCCAAAGGCACAAUGAAAGUAAAUAUUAUUUAUAUUUUUUUAUAAAUGAUAAAAGGAGGAUAUAUUUAUAUUAUGUAUUAAAUAUCGCACUCCUAGGGCGUCUUAUAUUAUUAUAAUUUAGUUUUCGGAUUAUAUUAUAAUAGAGGCGCACCUAGAGCGUACACGCUGGGACCCGAAAGAUGGUGAACUAUGCCUGGUCAGGAUGAAGUCAGGGGAAACCCUGAUGGAGGUCCGUAACGAUUCUGACGUGCAAAUCGAUCGUCGGAACUGGGUAUAGGGGCGAAAGACUAAUCGAACCAUCUAGUAGCUGGUUCCUUGAA
rnacentral:rRNA from 1 species